rnacentral:rRNA from 1 species
AACGAACGUUAGCGGCGCGCUUAACACAUGCAAGUCGAACGAGAAAGGGCUUCGGCCCCGGUACAGUGGCGCACGGGUGAGUAACACGUGGGUAAUCUACCCUUGAGCGGGGGAUAACGUUCCGAAAGGAGCGCUAAUACCGCAUAAGACCACGCUCUCGAAAGGGAGCGAGGUAAAAGUAGGCCUCUGAAUUCACGCUUACACUCGAGGAUGAGCCCGNGGCCCAUCAUGGUAGUUGGUAGGGUAAUGGCCUACCAAGCCGAAGACGGGUAGCUGGUCUUAGAGGAUGAUCAGCCACACUGGAACUGAGACACGGUCCAGACUCCUACGGGAGGCAGCAGUGGGGAAUCUUGCGCAAUGGGCGAAAG